GGGACCCUGUAUGGCCAUCACAGCCUGGCCUGCGGGUCUGGGGGCCCUGUGUGGGUAUCACAGCCUGGCCUGUGGGUCUGGGGGCCCUGUGCGGCCAUCACAGCCUGGCCUGUGGGUCUGGGGGACCCUGUGCGGGUAUCACAGCCUGGCCUGUGGGUCUGGGGGCCCUGUGUGGGUAUCACAGCCUGGCCUGUGGGUCUGGGGGCCCUGUGCGGCCAUCACAGCCUGGCCUGCGGGUCUGGGGGCCCUGUGUGGGCCAUCACAGCCCGGCCUGCGGGUCUGGGGGCCCUGUGUGGGUAUCACAGCCCGGCCUGCGGGUCUGGGGGCCCUGUGUGGGUAUCACAGCCUGGCCUGUGGGUCUGGGGGCCCUGUGCGGCCAUCACAGCCUGGCCUGUGGGUCUGGGGGACCCUGUGCGGGUAUCACAGCCUGGCCUGUGGGUCUGGGGACCCUGUGCAGGUAUCACAGCCUGGCCUGUGGGUCUGGGGGCCCUGUGUGGGUAUCACAGCCCGGCCUGCGGGUCUGGGGGCCCUGUGUGGGUAUCACAGCCUGGCCUGUGGGUCUGGGGACCCUGUGUGACCAUCACAGCCUGGCCUGUGGGUCUGGGGGACCCUGUGUAGGCCA